GAGAGGGGGAAGGGAGGAAGGAGGGAAGGAGGCCACUGCAGAAAGUGGCACUGAUCCCCCUGGGCCUCCCUGGGGCCUCAUGCGUAAGAUGGCGGCUGCCCCAGAGUGGCAGUGGCAAGUGAGCAGCCGUGGAAGGUGCCCGGGCAGGGCCAUGCAGGCAGCCAUGUGCGAAGCAGGCAGCCUUGGGCCAGGUUCCCUAGAAGCAGAGCUGAGAUGGGGAUUUCUGAUCAUGCGAUUGGGGGUGCUGCCUAAGAAGUUGCUCUCUGCCCCAACUCCGAGCCAGGGCAGCACUGACUGGGGGCAACUUUCCCCUGCAGGGGGCGCUCCCAGCUGCCGGGGAGGGGCAGUGGCCCUGAAGGGGCCUGGUCAGGACCAGCAGUUUUCUCUGUGGUGGUGUUUGUUCCCAUUUCACAGAUGAAGAAACUGAGGCUUGGAGAGACCCAGGACCUUGCCCAGGCCCCACACCACACCCAGAAGGGGCGGUGCUGGAGUCCUGCACCACGUUGCCGUUCUCACCAGGAGGAGGCCCUCGUUUGCUGCGUCCAGCGACCCCAUCUCCACGCUGCAGGCAGGAGAACACAGCCGGGUGUGAGCCACGAGCGAGGCCUCACAGGGAAGCGAGAGCAGUGGUGUUGCCGUCUGGAUAUCAGAGACGCUCACUGGCUUCCGCCCCACAUGGGGCUCUGAGCCAGGCCUCAGGGUUUUGAGUCCCUGGGUGUGGCACCCAAGGGGGUGGCCAGGUGGGGUGGAGUGUGAGUUUGAGUGAUUUGGCAUCCCUGUGGAGAUGUUAGGGAGAGUGGGUACCUGUGUCUGCAGCUCCAGAGCGAGAUCCGGGCUGGACAUAGACACGGGGAGCCAUGCGGUGGAGGUGGCCUGCUUCUGUUUGCAGCUGUAAUAAAUCACCAGGAACUCAGCGGUGGGAGUGCCCAGACGCGUGACCAGUUCUCACUGGACUUGGUUAUCCAGAUCCUGUGGGCUGAAGUCAAGGUGUCGGCAGGGCUGGGUCCUCCUGGAGGCUCCAGAGGAGAAUCCGUUCCCUGCCUUUUCCAGCUCCCAGAAGCCUCCCGCGUUCCUGGGCUAGGGGCCCUUCCUCCCUCUCAGAGCGGGCCACGGUGUGUCCUCUGACCUUCCACAGUCAUGUUCCCCUUCGAUGGGGCUCUGCUUCCAGCCCUCCCUCCACACUGAAGGCCCCCAUGAUCACAUGGCUCACCCGCCAAUCCAGGUGGCCUCCCUCCAAGGUCAGCCGAUGAACUGCCUUCAUGCCUGCAUGGUGUCUCCGACCCUCGUCCACACAACCUGACAUAGUCACAGGUCCUGGAGCAGUGACCAGCAGUGACCAUCAUCACCCAAUGAGGAUGGAGAGAAGCUGAGGCUGUCCUGAGACGUCCUGGGGAAUGAGCUGGCACCGGGGUCCCACUGGUGAAGGGCAAGCAUGGAGAUGGGCCAGGAGCAUGCUCCCUGCCAUUGUGCGUGGCACAGAAGGUCAGGAAUGGCUUGGCGGCCCCGUGGGAAACCGGUUACUCCAAUCGGGUCCAGCAGAACCCCAGGCAGCCUUGUGGCAGCAUGGGGGGAGGGUCUAUGCUUAGCGAUGUGGCAGACGUCCAGAGUGCCCUGAGCUUUAAUAACAGCGACUUACAGAAGUGUGCAGGCCCAUUCUGAAAACACACGCAGUCUGAAAAACGUCCAGAGGGACAGGCCUGAAAACGUUAAGAGCACUUCAAUCCUGGGGGUUGGUUUUGGGGAUGCCUCCCUUCUCUGUGGUGGUCUGCACUUGCAAUUUCACUGACUGGGAGUCAGGAUAAUGCCCCCCGCCCCCCACCCCCCGCAAAAUGCCCACCUUUUAGUCUCUAAAACCGGUACCUAUGACCUUACAUGGAACGGAGACUUUGCAGAAGUGAUUUUGGAUCUCGAGAAGGGGAGGUUAUCCUGGCUUGGUGCUGGUCAUUAUCCCAGAAAACACAAUCCCAAAAGCCAGGAUCCGGAAUGCCAAAAUCCUGAAAAAUCAAAAUCCCUAAAGUCUAAAAUCCCUAACAUCUGAUUGGAUCCCUAAACCAUAAUGACACAUUUGGAAUUAGGUUCAAUCAAGGCUUCUAAAAGCGCAUUUCAAGGUGUUAGCAAUAAAGUUUGUUUUUCUCCAUUCAGCCCAAUGCAUUUGGCAAAAAAAAAAAAAAAAAAAAAAAAAAUCCAGAUGAGUGGAUUGGCCAGGCAUACGGUAGUGACAAAAUCUUUGGUUUAAAACUGCAUCAUUUGCCUGCACUAGCAUUUCUUCCAACUGAUGAAAUUCUAGCGGAGUCCUGUCCUAAAGGAUGAGAAGCAACUAUUCAUUGAGAUGAGAGACUUCAAAAAUAAUCAGUGAUCAUGAAAGUUGGCCAGCUCUUCUGGACCAUCUCUGUGCAGUUGCCCUAAUCUAUCCCUGCAAUGGAUCCCUUUAAUACACUUGGUCAUAUGUUGAA